GUAUGAGGAGACAGUGGUCAGUCUGGUUUCACUGAAGAGCUGUUUUAACAGGUUGAACAUGUGUGCCUCAAGUUACUUGAAUGCAGAACCAUCAUGGAGUUCCAGAACCUUCUCAGCUGUCUUGCAGACUUUCAGGACACUGUCUGAUAUAUCCACCUCAGGACUUCAUGUCGAUCAGUGUGUUCAUCUUGGGAAGAGCUCUCGACACUGAGUGCUGAUAAACAGGCUGAACAUCACUGCCUGAAAUGCCAGCAUAUCAGAAGGUGUACUGUGCUAUCCAGUGGAGAACAGUUGCCACUAGCUCUGAUGGCAUGUCUUGCUACCAUUCUUUUGAAAGCUGUUAUAUGUGGG